CCAGACGGUCGGAUGGCUGCCUUUCGCGUUUCGGCGCGGGGGGAGGAAAGUCCGGGCUCCACGGAAACACGGUGCCGGGUAACGCCCGGCGGGGGCAACCCUAGGGAAAGUGCCACAGAAAGCAAACCGCCCGGCUAAGUUCCAGCUUGCUGGAACAAAGACGGGUAAGGGUGAAAGGGUGCGGUAAGAGCGCACCGCGCUGCCGGUAACGGUAGCGGCAUGGUAAACCCCACCGGGAGCAAAACCGAAUAGGGACGGCCGGCCGGCAUUGCCCCAGGAUUUUGUUCUUGGGUGAUGGCUGGCAAGCGUGUUUUCGCGCUGCUGUCCGGGUAGGUUGCACGAGGCGUCCGGUAACGGGCGUCCCAGAUGAAUGGCCAUCUAUCGUUGCCGGUUUCGCCGGCAGCGUGGACAGAACCCGGCUUACAGGCCGUCUGGCACC
rnacentral:RNase_P_RNA from 1 species